GACAGCAGCUAGGAUUUUAAGGCAUUUUUUUCUAAAUACAUUUUUGGUUUAUUAAUUAAUUUAUUAUUUAUUUUUCUUCUAUUCGUGUGUCUGGCCUGAUCAAGUAGUUUUGAUAAAUUCAAGUGUAGGCUAAAUGGUUUUGAAGUCUCGGCCUGGCUUGGUCUGAUGGGCACCAAAUGAAUGUGCAUGAAGCAGUCUAUGCACGUAUAUUCAUGUCGCACGAGUCCCAUUACUACUAUAUAAGUUUUUUGAGCUGCCUAUCUUUUAGUCAUGCUAUAAACACAAUUUGUAUGGAAGGAGUUCUCUCCUAGCUAGGUUUAAAGUUACCCUCACUUGAAGCUUGCAGUAUCUUGUAAAAAGAUCAAACAAGGAAUGGCUUCUAUGGGAGCUAGUGUUGCGGCCGCUAAUCCUCUACUUUGUUGCUGAGCUAGGUUACAACACUAGCUAGUGUUACACCACAAACAUGUGUCGACAAAACAAGUGAAUUUCAUCAUCAGAAACAAAUGCAAGGAGAAAUAUUAUGACCACCGUAUAUAUAUAGUGGUAUAGCAAUGCAUGGUGUAUGACUGUGCAUAUCCAUGCAUAUCUAUAUGUAGCUUGCAGAGUGCAUUCAUCAACAACUAUGUAUGCUUGGUUUCUCGUGUGUUACGUGAGGCUAACCAGGCA
rnacentral:lncRNA from 1 species